rnacentral:RNase_P_RNA from 1 species
CGAGUAUCGGAUGUGGUCGCUGCCAGCGUAGGGAAACCGGCUGGGAGAGGAAAGUCCGGGCUUCACAGAGCAGGAUGCCUGCUAACGGCAGGUUGCGGUGACGCACAGGAAAGUGUAACAGAGAGUAGACCGCCGGCUUCGGCCGGUAAGGGUGCAAGGGCAGUGUAAGAGACUACCGCGGGCCUGGUGACAGGAACGGCAUUAUAAACCCCAUCUGAAGAAAGACCAAACAGGAAGCAUAGGGUGGCUCGUCCGCUUCCGGGUAGGUUGAUUGAGGCGUAUGGCAACAUGCGUCCUAGAUAGAUGACCACUUGAUACAUAACCCGGCUUAUUACGAUGCUCGACUU